AUGUAUAACCUUCCUCCUUGGAUGUGCAUGAAGCGGAAGUUCAUUAUGAUGCCAGUUCUCAUCCAAGGCCCUAAGCAACCCGACAAUGACAUUGAUGUGUACCUAAGGCCAUUAGUUGAAGAACUUUUGCAGCUGUGGAAUGGAAACGGUGUACGUACGUGGGAUGAGCACAAACAAGAGGAAUUUGACCUAAAGGCAUUGCUAUUCGUGACCAUCAACGAUUGGCCCGCUCUCAGUAACCUUUCAGGACAGACAAACAAGGGAUACCACGCAUGCAUGCACUGUUUACUUGACACCGAAAGUAUAUACCUGGGAAGCUGCAGGAAGAAUGUGUACCUAGGCCAUCGUCGAUUUCUUCCGACCAACCAUCAAUGUCGAAAGAAAGGCAAGCAUUUCAAAGGCGAGGCAGAUCACCGGAAGAAGCCCGCCAUGCGUACCGGUGAUCACGUACUUGCUAUGGUCAAUGAUUUACACGUAAUCUUUGGAAAGGGUCCCGACGCACUAGCUGUUCCGAAUGACGCUGGGGAACACGCACCCAUGUGGAAGAAGAAAUCUAUAUUUUGGGACCUACCCUACUGGAAAGACCUAGAGGUUCGCUCUUUAAUUGACGUGAUGCACGUGACGAAGAACCUUUGUGUGAACCUGCUAGGCUUCUUGGGCGUGUAUGGAAAGACAAAAGAUACAGCUGAGGCAUGGGAGGACCUGCAAUGUUUGCACGAAAAAGACGGCAUAUGCCUCCAAAGCAGUAUGAAGGUCCUGCCAGCUAUGCUCUUACCAAAGAAGAGAAGGAAAUCUUCUUUGAAUGCCUGCUUAGUAUGA
rnacentral:rRNA from 1 species